rnacentral:rRNA from 1 species
CCCUUAGAUGUUCUGGGCCGCACGCGCGCUACACUGACGGAGGCAGCGAGCGUGUCCUUCGCCGGCAGGUGCGGGCAAUCUUGCGAGUCUCCGUCGCGCUGGGGAUAGAUGGUUGCAAUUGUCGAUCUUGAACGAGGAAUUCCUAGUAAGCGCGAGUCAUCAGCUCGCGCUGAUUACGUCCCUGCCCUUUGUACACACCGCCCGUCGCUACUACAGAGUGCCCGUGUCCAAGAAACGGUCGGACCUGUGCGGCCUCUCCGGGCGACCGGAGGGCCGUUACGGGGAAGACCCUUUAUUUGACGCGGGUCGAUGAAGUAAAAGUCGUAACA